CCAGACUCCUACGGGAGGCAGCAGUGGGGAAUAUUGGGCAAUGGGCGCAAGCCUGACCCAGCAACGCCGCGUGAAGGAAGAAGGCCCUCGGGUUGUAAACUUCUUUUAACAGGGACGAAGAAAGUGACGGUACCUGUUGAAUAAGCCACGGCUAACUACGUGCCAGCAGCCGCGGUAAUACGUAGGGGGCGAGCGUUAUCCGGAUUUACUGGGUGUAAAGGGAGCGUAGACGGUUUUUCAAGUCUGAAGUGAAAGCCCGCGGCGCAACUGCGGAACGGCUUUGGAAACUGAGGGACUAGAGUGCUGGAGGGGCAGGCGGAAUUCCUGGUGUAGCGGUGAAAUGCGUAGAUAUCAGGAGGAACACCGGUGGCGAAGGCGGCCUGCUGGACAGUAACUGACGUUGAGGCUCGAAAGCGUGGGGAGCAAACAGGAUUAGAUACCCCCGUAAUA
rnacentral:rRNA from 1 species